rnacentral:snRNA from 1 species
ACGUGCCCUGGAUCGUGAGUGGAUC